GGGGCAGGAACACAGGAAUCAGCCCCCUCGGGGUCCCGACAAUAUCCUGGUCCCUUUUCUCCAAGCUGACUUGUCCUGGGACACUCAACUCUGGGCAGACUCCAGGUUGGAGAAAAGAUAAUUCCCACUCUCAGGGAAGGGGGAAAGGAUGUCUGCUCCAAGGCGGAGAGAAAUGAAGAAAAUACCCAUGAGUGUGGAAAUCGGUGGACAUUGUAAAUUGUCUAGAGGGCUGAGCUUGCGUCUAUGCCUUUGCGCACCUGGCACUGUGCCUUCAAUAAACACUCUGAGCCCUUCUCUGCACCGGGCACUGGCGAGGCUCUUUCUGGGAUGAAAUAAAUCUUGCUGGUGUUCUGGUAGGAGAGAGGCAAUGACAGAUGGGCCAGCAUUAUGAUUUCCCAUGCUGCUGAGCUCUAGAAGAAAGUGAACCAGCAGUGAGAGCCUGCGGGAAGGAUGGGUUUCUCAGUGCAGUCCCAGUAUGAGUGGCCUUCGCCGCAAGGCGCCAGCACCAAGUCAGAAAGCAAGCAAGUUUAACCGCUGCCUCCCUCCCCCAUGGUCUGUGAAAGUCUCAUGCUGCAGUGGCUUCAGUGGUGGUCCCCAGAAGAGACCUCCUUAUGAGCAUUCCCAAGACCCCUGAACAUGACCUUAUUUGGGAAAAGGGACCAUGCAGACCCUGGAAAUGAAAUGACUCAUGGGACCAUUACCCAGAUCAGCCCCAAAUUCAGAGACACAUGUCCUCCUGGGAGAUAUCCAGAGAGAAACACAAACAGAGGAGAAGGCCGGGAGAGGCGGAGGCCGAGAUUAGCAGCCACAGGCCGAGGAGGAUGUGGAGCCACCGAAAGGAAGAGACAAGGAACAGAGCCUGCCCUGGAGCCUCGGGUGUGUGCCAGGCAGUGUGGCCCUGCUGGCACCUUGGUUUUGGACCAGGUGUCUGGUCAUCUGUCAUGAUUGACCUGCCCACAUUUUCUAAUUCCUAAGGGUCUGCUCUCCCAGACCCUUCUUCCACCCAUGGCCCGAUUUGUCCUCUUUUGCCCUGUGUCCACCUGGGAGUGAGUCUCCAUGUCAUCAAUGUGUUCCACAUAAAAUGUACUUGCAGCAAGAGUUUCUAAUUGGCUUAGAGACUCUGGGGGAUGAGUUGGAGGAAGGCACAAGCACUGGACUUUCCCUUGACCACAUUUGGGUGAAUAAAAUGAUUUCUAAUCUUU